GGGAGGACCGGCCACUGGAGAGGCCACCCAGGAACCGUCCUCUGUCCCAGCGGGAGACACAUCCUCAGAUGCGGGCAGAGGGACAAGUGCAGAAGGCAGGGAAGACAAGCCGUCGGAUGCCGAAUGCAAACCACACAUUGGACCAGACUGGUGGGAUGAGGAGUGUGAGAAGAUGAUCGAUCAAGUCCAAGUGUUGUACAUUGGGCAGAGUGAGCUGGACACGGCUGAGCAGAAGGAGGCAUAUCUCCAUGAGGUGCGUCAGAUGCUGAGAGAGCAAUUCCCCUGCAAGUACUUCCUGCCCAAGGACAUUGGUCAACAGACCAGGAAACGCAGCAAGAGAGAAGGGAAUUGAACGGGAAGAUCGUGGAUUGUGAUCAU